GACGCGCCGAACCCGAACAAGAUCGGCAUCCGAUCGAGCCCGCCCAAAGAUCUCGCCACCACCGCAGAGCCGGGCGGUCUAUCCAGCUCCAGCGCCCUCGCAGCGGGUCUCGUCGGGGGGCCAAACCCGGGCGAUUCGAGCUGGCGCGCCCCUCCCGUCGUGAUCGAUGAGCAGGGGCACGGGGCGCCGCUGGUGCCUUCCGGCUCGGCCGCAGCUGGAGGGAGGAUGGAGUGGGAACGCUGCCGCGCUCCUCUAGAAGGAGCAGGCGGAUUAGGUAGCGCACGGCUGCAGAAGCUUCCUCCUCGCCCUCUCGCCUCGCGCCACGUCGGCCCCCCCCCCCAACCCCGGGGCUCGCAUGAUUGGGCGGGGUGACAGGGACGGACACACGCAUGAACGCGUCCGCCAUCCACCAGUUCUGUCACUGCUCGGAGGAGUUCCCAAACACUUUUUCAGAACAUCGAAUGCCGUGGAAGGUAAGCAGGCGGCAGGAGAGAUGUCACGGCCUUCGAGUCCUGUGGCCGCGCUUCCUUCUCCGGCGGUUCACGGCCGUCUUCACGAGGAAGCCGCUCGCGUCGUGCCACGGCGUGGAUCUCUGCCAUUGGCUUGGCCUGCUCGGUUGGUACAAGUAUUCGGUAGUAUUUUUCUUCUGUUGGCUUGCGUGGAAAGCUGCUCUUUCUUAGGUCGUCAGAUGCUUGUGCGAUCAGUGGGCUGCGUUUCAGACGAUGCCAAGGUCCCAAGAGCAAGAUAAUAGGCCGGAGGAUAGGCUGCAACUGCAAAGCUUAUCCCGCGUAUAAAACAAAGAGGGUAGCUCGGUACGGAGCAGCCGGAUUGUCAACAAA